GACGUAGGGCGCGAGCGUUGUCCGGAUUUAUUGGGCGUAAAGAGCUCGUAGGCGGCUUGUCGCGUCGACUGUGAAAUCCCGCGGCUCAACUGCGGGUCUGCAGUCGAUACGGGCAGGCUAGAGUUCGGUAGGGGAGACUGGAACUCCUGGUGUAGCGGUGAAAUGCGCAGAUAUCAGGAGGAACACCGGUGGCGAAGGCGGGUCUCUGGGCCGAUACUGACGCUGAGGAGCGAAAGCGUGGGGAGCGAACAGG
rnacentral:rRNA from 1 species